AGAAGUGAUCACCACCUGGAACAGGUAGGGGCUGGAGCAGGGACUGGACGGGUGAGUUCAAGUUGUACAUACCUGCAAAACUACCACUGCAGUCAGGACACAGAACAUUUCCAUCAUCUCCAAGACAUUCCUCCUGACCUUCUGCAGUCCCACUUCUGUCCGUGUUGCCAGGCAAUCACUGCUCUGCUCUCUAUAAGAAUUUCCUGGGUGAAGCCUGAAAAUACAUGGAGGACAAGGAGAGACUGAAGAGAGAGGCAGCUCACUCCAGACUGGGCGAGUUUCAGGCAUCCAGACCUGCACUGCCAAAAAGUAGUCACUGCUCAAGUGGAGCUAGUCUGAGCUGAGUCACAGAGAGGCUAAGAAGUCAAUGGAAAACCGCUUCUGGAGAGAUGGAGAGAGCAGAUACCAAAUAAAUGUAUGUUAGAUGAAUAAAUACGUUAUGGAUCUAAGGAAGACACACACAGGUAAAAAAAAGAAUUCAUGCUUUUUUCGGUUG